CUUUUCGAAAGGGGCCGACUGGAAAGUCUAUGGGAAUGCGACAGCUGCGAUCAAUUGUGGGUUAUGUUCAAUCUAUAUGAAAAUCAAAAUCCCCUACUACUCAUCUAUAUCCGAAUGUAUUUACCGGCAAUAUUAGAAAACUUCCUAAGAAAAGGCAUUGAAUGAGAAUGAAAGCCAAUGUCACCCCACCAAGUAUAUCACAGCCUCGACCGAUGCCGCUGUCCAAAGAAGAGAUUGUCUCUGUUGCCCCCAAGACAUGAUUCGAAAGGAUCUGAUCAAACCGGGUUAUUGUUCAGAAUGGGUGCAUCCGAUAGUCGCCGUUCUAAAACAGGACGAAUCUAUUCAAGUUUGCAGCGGAUUAUUUAUGCUCAACAGUAUCAUCGUCAGAGCGAAGGUUGCCCAAACUACCACAAACGAACCAGUUGACAAGCUAUCUGUAGCAACGGUACUUUUAGAAUUUAGUGUUGAAAUUGCCCACUUUUCGUGGGUCUGACUGUCGAUUCGAGACUACUGAGGGCGGUCUGUAUUAGUACAAGCUGUUUCAUUGUGUCUCAGCAGUGUCCUUGCAGUAUGGCAAUGGCUCAUUACAGUUAGGUUAGUUGAUUCAAAAGGCAGUGCCACUCAAAUGGAAGAUGUUUUUACCCUUCGAAAAUCCUCUUAAACCCACGAUUCUACUCAAUAUUUCGCGCAUCGCCGACUAGGUGACCUAGAUUUACGAUUCACUUAAUGAAAGUGCCGGUUUGCUAUGGAGAAUGUUGAGUCUCUCAGUCAGCGGAAAGCACGCCGUAGGUUUACAUGUAAUGUGAUGGAGCAGGUGCCGAAGAUAUGUAUGUGAGCCCAGUUGGAGCGAUGUGUGUGCUCAUUUUCAGGCUGGCCGAUAUCGACUUGGACCUUGUCGUCUAGCGAGAAACCCAACUUUGAUUUCCUGUCGAGUAUAAAAGUAAGCAACCAGCAGUAGGAAUGUAGACGACGGCGGUCGCCAUUACCUCCCAGCAAUCGUGUUUUCCGAAGCAGUUAAGAAACUGCACGGUUUGAUAUAUUUCUCUGCCUUGUUUCCGAAUCUGUCUUGAUCCCAGCGGUAGCGCGUUCUUUGAGCACGAAAGUGAGAGUGAGAUCGAAAACUUUUGAGAGCCUGAGUUUCUAAUCAAACUUUUCUUACCUGCGCAGCUACGUCGGCGGUUAUGCCAUCUGUGUGUGUUUCAUCAUGCUCAAGAAAUACUCGAUGGUUGAGUCGGUGCGCCCUAUAUUGGACCGAACUUCCGCACGUCGCGUCUGUUGCCGAUCGACUUAGACGAGUCAGAUGAAGCGUCCUCACCCGAUCCGCCACGACCACACUCUAAUGAUGAGCGCCGUAACAUGACUGAAGACUGCCGGCUAGAUCUCGCUCAACCCCAGUAGCCGCACUACACAGCUGCAGUCGAUUCAGCUACCCUACUACUAGUCGAAGCUCGAAGAGUGUUAUCUAGCGUUACCAAUCGCAACGCCGCAUUCAGUCAUCUUCCCGCUAUUGUUGAUAGCCGGCUGAACAAACCCAACACCACGGAAAGGUUCCAGAAUGCUGUGGAGGAGUUCUGUUGAACCUGGUACCCUCACCGAUGGGUUCAGAAGCAAAAAGGGCCUGUUGUUCUGCCACGACUGAUUAACCGCCACCAACGGCGUCAACUACAAUACGGUUACAUCCAGAACCUCUUCCGUAGGGACAGGAAAGACGCAGCAUCAACGGUUCCAGAUGGCCCCUGGCGGGAAGCGUUUAAUUCUCUUAAUGACCGGGUGGAGGGUUUCAGUCCCUACUAGACAACUGUGUUUGAGCAACCAGCCUUUAGGGACGAACGGGCCUCGAGGAUGGUCGUCCUGACAAACGAAAGUGUGUUGAAGCCUAUCACUGCUAUCAAGAUACCGACCACACUAUCGACCCUCAAAGGUUUUUCCCCUGGUAUGGACAACCUCACACCAACCCAGUUGCUCAAGCGGAAAGCCGGUUCAAUCGCUGCAUUUUGAACGUUUUACUGUCUGCAAAAAAGCUGUCAGACCAUUUGAAUGUCGCCCGAAUCACUUUUGACCCAAUAUCCCCCUCCUCUUCUCACCCCUCUGACUUCCGCCCGAUAUCCGUAACUUCCGUUUUUGUCCACCUUCUACACAAAAUUAUUCUCAAACUAUGGGUCUCCGACUUUCCGACUGAGCGACUCCAGUUUGGUUUUCUUCAAAGAGAUGGUUGUUUCGAAGUCACCACCAUUUUACAUGCCGUUCUCCGUCAUUCUCAUACUUUUUGUAGAAACGCUUCUUUUGCCUCCUUGGAUAUUUCCAAAGCUUCUGACUCUAUUUCUCAUGAUUUCAUUUUGAGGGCAGCCGCAUCCUUCGGUGAUCCCCCUCUUCUUUGACAAUAUCUGUGCAGCUGCUACAGUGCGGCUACUUCUGUUUUCGAAGACACUGUUGUCCACACUCAACGAGGCAUGCGGCAAGGUGAUUCACUCUCCCCUCUUCUUUUCAUCAUGGCGAUGGAUGAGGCCCUCAAUGAGACCUCCUUCUUCCCAUAGUCAUCUCCGGCUGGUCAUCUGGACUAUCUGGCCUUCGCGGAUGACGUCAUUCUUUUCGCGGAAGAUAGGGUUAAUUUCGAGGACAGGCUUACCAACCUAGCCUCCCAGCUGGAACUCUUGGGACUGUCCAUCAACAGCAACAAAUCCACCUGUAUCAACGUUAUGGCCGACGGCCGCAGAAAAAUCACAGUGCUGGACGACAGGCCAAUCGCCAUUUUUUCCUCUCCCAUUUCUUGUUUGUCGGUAAUCAAUAGCUUCACGUUUUUGGGCGUCCCGUUCAACAAGAAAGGCAAGCUACCGACCACAGCAAUCAAGAACUUGGACAAAAUGCUAUGGGAGCGCAUGGAUCUUCUCAGGUUUCACCUGCUCCCCAGACUGGACUACGCGCCCAUCCUGUCUGACGUCCACAAAAAUACCCACCGAUCGAUGGAUCUUCUCAUCUGGUCCUCGAUCAAGCGCUGGCUUAUGCUCCCGAAGGAUACAUCCAAUGUAUUCUUCUAUGCUUCAAUAAACGGCGGGGGUUGGGGAUCCCCCACCUGCAGUCUAAAAUACCCCUGCAUCGGACAGGCAGGCUACAGAAACGCUCGAGUUUGUCUCAUCCGAUGAAGAGUUGGGCGCUCCGGGCUCUGGCUCCAGUCACAAUGCACCGCCUGGCGCGUUACCAUAUCUUUGCCGGCGGUUUACCUGUGAUUGACAAGGCCUCAGCCGAGGAAGCCUGCAGCCAACACCUACAUGUCACCCAGGAUGGCUGGCCUCUCCAAGUGGUCAACACACCCCCCACCUCGCACCAUUGGCUGCGAGACAGUACACGAAUGUUUCCCCGGCUUUACAUUCGGGCUACCCAGCUGACAGCGGGUGUACUUCCAACAAAAAGCCGCAGAGCUCGGGGAAUACCGACCGCAGCUGAGGACGUACGCUGCAGUGGUAAUUGCGACCGCCGCGAAUCCCUUUCCCACAUCCUGCAAUAGUGUGAGGUGACGCACGAUGCUCGCUGCAAAAGACACAACGACACAAACCGGAUAAUCUUGCGGAAGUUCAGGGCCCGCAACGUUCGCUACUUAUCAGAGCCUUACAUCGUUACAGCACGGUCAUUUAUCAAACCCGACAUCAUCGUGGUGCACGAAAAUAAAGCACUGGUACUGGACGUUUCUAUCUGUGACGCACAUCGUAUGGAUGCAACUCUACACGUGAACCUUAAUAAGUACGCCACUGGCGAAAACUCCGGACGCAAAAGAGGGUUCAUCCAGUCCGUUUGUCCCUCCAUCCAAUCUGUGGUUCAUGCCCCCAUAAUAUUCAACAACCGCGGUUUCACCCACCCCGCGUCUUGCAAAACCUUACUGUCCCUUAAACUAUCCAAACUUGAUAUAUCUGACCUAUGUGUGUCGACCAUCCAUGGCUCUCUCCCCAUUUAUGAUACAUACAUGAGGGGAUGCUGAAAACACAAAUCACAGAAGAAAGAUACAUACAUUUUAUUUUCAAUUUUUUCUUCCGACCAUUUUCACGUCGACUUGCGUUAAUGUAAAGCAUUUGCCAGAAGAUCGGAAAAGCCGAACAUUUCUGCCCGGGGAUUGACCGCGAUCUUGGAAAUUUGUGUAAAUCUCACUCCUGGGACAUGUUCGCAUUUUGUCAAAAAUAAAUUGUUGAUAGCCAAAUGUCUCGUCAUCUAAAUAGGGACGCGCAUGAAUGGAUUAACGAGAUUCCCACUGUCCCUAUCUACUAUCUAGCGAAACCACAGCCAAGGGAACGGGCUUGGCAGAAUUAGCGGGGAAAGAAGACCCUGCUGAGCAUGACUCUAGUCCGACUUUGUGAGGAAACGUGACGGGUGUAGAAUAAGUGGGAGCCAGGUCUUUCGGGAUUUGGCGUCAGUGAAAUACUACCACCGUCAUUGUUUCAUUGCUUAUUCAACAAAGUGGGGUGCCAAUUUUGGUCCUAAGCACAUGCUGGCAUGCGUGGCUUUGCUGCGGGUAUCUCUAUCCUGGUCAUGUCAGAUGGGCCGUGGUUUCGGCUACGGUGUUUGAGUUUGAAUGUGACGUGCGACCCGUUCUGAAGACAAUGUUAGGCAGGGAAUUUGACUGGGGCGGUACAUCUGUCAAAUGGUAACGCAGGUGUCCCAAGGUAAGCUCAGCCAGGACGGAAACCUAGCGUAGAGUAAAAGGGCGAAAGCUUACUUGAUUUUGAUUUUCAGUACGAAUACAGACCGUGAAAGCGUGGCCUAUCGAUCCUUUUGAUUUUGAUAUUCGGAGUUUGAAGCAAGAGGUGUCAGAAAAGUUACCACAGGGAUAACUGGCUUGUGGCGGCCAAGCGUUCAUAGCGACGUCGCUUUUUGAUCCUUCGAUGUCGGCUCUCCCUAGCGUUGUGACGCAGAAUUCAUCAAGCGUUGGAUUGUUCAUCCACUAAUAGGGAACGUGAGCUGAGUUUAGAACGUCGUGAGACAGGUUAGUUUUACUUUACUAAUGAGUACAAUGAAACAGUGAAGUACAAACUGGCCGUUACUAUGGUAAUCCUGUUUAGUACCAGUGGAACCGCAAGUUCAGACAUUUGGUAUAUAGGCCUGGCCGAAAGGCCAAUGGUGCGAAGCCACCAUCUGAGGGAUUAGGACUGAACGCCUCCAAGUCUGAAUCCCGUCCAGAUAUGUAACGGUACGUUCUGUGCCUGUCAAGUGGCAAAGCAAGCCUACGUAUUCCUUCCGGUGCUUAGACUGGACUAUGUGUCUGGCUAGGUCCGGUAGGUCUGGUGUAUUGCCAGAGCGAUUGACUGAAUAUGUGCUCCGGAUUUUGGGGUGCAGGUGUCGACAUGAUAUCCAAAUGUGGAAUGAGCGUGAAGGCAAUAAAUCGUUUGUAGACGACUAAAUGUUUUGUCUGGAAGACGUAAGUGUUCGAGCAGCUAUCACACUGCGAGACAUUGAGUCCUAUCCCUGCUUGACGUAAUGAGUUAAGGGCUUGACUCCCAUUCAUUUCCAAAGGGUCUGGAGAGUUUGGGGACUCUCUAGCCUCGCCUAUGGUGAUUAUGCAUUGCAGCCAACAUUUGUAUCCGGGGCGUGACUACCAUCUGCUCGUCUGGCUUUGUGUAGUUGUGGCUGGUACGCGCAAACCAUGUGUUAUUGGUCCUCACCUUGUGACCUGCCGUGAGCAUACCCUGGGGAUGAUCGACGGUACAUGACAAUGCGCGGACUAGCAUUCGGUUGUAGUGUUCGAACGUCUUUCUUACUACUCACGAUCUGCAAAUUACGUUGU